ACAUGACUCAUCUGAGGAUCUUGUUAAAAUGCAGAUUCUGGUUUUCUAGGCCUGGGGUGGAGCCAGAGGUUCUGUAUUUCUAACAAGCUCCUGGGUGAUGCUCAU
rnacentral:pre_miRNA from 3 species